rnacentral:misc_RNA from 1 species
UUCUGAUGAACCAUUAGGCCUCUUUUGCCCUUGCAAGUCUACAACACUGGAAUCAGAAAACCCAUGAACCUCCUUUGGAACCUCAGGACCACCAGCUCCAAUAAAACGCUUAGGGCCAUCAUCAUGAUGAGAGAUCAACCGUGAAAUUGAACCCUCUACUUCAGACUCUGCCACAUCUUCAUUUUCAGCAGUAGAGCCAUCUUCUGUUGUUAUGGAAAUAUGUGACGCUUUCUUGUCAUGUACGAAUGAUAAGCAUCUCUCUCAUGCUUCUUCUGAUUAUUUAUCUCAUCAAAUAACAUUUUACGUUUGUUACCUGCCUCUGGUCUUUUUUCUUCUUCAAUUUCAGCAGGUCUUUUGCCGCUCGAAACCCAAAGCCCCCUAUUGUUCAAGUUUAUUGAAGCAUUUGCAUCAGCAUUGCCCUUGGACAGGUCAUUAAAGAAGUUCUCCUGAGGUUUCACAGAAUCACUUAUUUGAGACCCAGCACUUGAAUCCUGCUUCUGGGUACUAGCAUGAAGAAAGUUUUUGAAAUCAUCUACCAAUUUGUUGCCUCUAUCACCUUCUUCUGUCCUAGUAUCUGAAGAGCCAUUUUUACCUUUGGAUUUCGCAGAUGAUCCUCCACAACCUAAACCAAGGCUAAGCUCCAGGCCAUUCUCAUCCUCCAUGUCAGCAAUCAAUAGAUGUCAACCUGGCCAAGUAAGACCUCUUACAAUACCCAAUUUUUCGUAGACUGCUCCUCAAAUGGUACCCUGGUAUAAAGAGAUGACCAUCUCCUGAUAACCUCAGGCGAAGACUAGAGAGCGGUGUACGGUUCAGAGAAAGAGAAAGGUUGAGGGAGAGAGAAGGCAAAACAAGUUGAUGUUUUG